rnacentral:rRNA from 1 species
AUGGCCAUCACCAACAUCUACGCCCCCUCCUCCCGCCCCUUCAAGCACUCUUUUCUCACUGAGCUACUAGCUAUCGCCCAACCAGACGACUCGCCCUGGCUUCUUGUGGGAGAUUUCAACCUCCUCCGUUACCCCUCUCACAAAAAUAACGACACGUUUAGACAGUCUGAGGCCAAUGCUUUCAACCAAACUCUCAACGAUCUAGCUCUCAUCGAGCUUCCGCUUCUAGAUCGCCAGUUCACUUGGUCCAACAUAGAGCAACACCCACCCUAG